GGGUUGUGAGGUUAAGCGAACAAGCGUACACGGUGGAUGCCCUGGCAGUCAGAGGCGAUGAAGGACGUGCUAAUCUGCGAAAAGCGCCGGUAAGGUGAUAUGAACCGUUAUAACCGGCGAUGUCCGAAUGGGGAAACCCGGUGCACUUCGGUGCAUCAUCGUUAGCUGAAUACAUAGGCUAACGAAGCGAACCGGGGGAACUGAAAC
rnacentral:rRNA from 1 species